UACGUAGGCAGCGAGCGUUGUUCGGAAUUACUGGGCGUAAAGAGUGUGUAGGCGGUGCUCUAAGUUCGGUGUGAAAUCUCCCGGCUUAACUGGGAGGGGUCGCUCGAUACUGGCGAGCUCGAGGCAGGUAGGGGGAAGCGGAAUUCCCGGUGUAGUGGUGGAAUGCGUAGAUAUCGGGAGGAACACCAGUGGCGAAGGCGGCUUCCUGGACCUGUUCUGACACUGAGGAGCGAAAGCGUGGGGAGCGAUCCGG
rnacentral:rRNA from 1 species